UUUAAAAAUUUACUAUAAAAUUUAAAUUUAAAUUUUUAACUUUUAAAUUAAAAUUAAAAUUUGAGUUUUAAAUUGUGAAUUAAAUUUAUUUUUGGAUAUUAAAUUAGAAUUAAUAUUUUUUUUAUUAAAGUAAAAUUUUGAAUUUUGAAUAAAAACCUGAAUUAAAAUUUCAAUACUUUUAGUUCUAAACAUAUAUAUUUAAAUUUUGGAUUCUUCAUAAUUCAAGAAUAUAAAAAAAAAUAUUCAAUCUAUAUCUAUAUCUACAUUAUAUAUAAAUUAUAAAAUAAAUA
rnacentral:lncRNA from 1 species